AUUUAUAAGAAUAUGAUGUUGGUUCAGAUUAAGCGCUAAAUAAGGACAUGACACAUGCGAAUCAUACGUUUAUUAUUGAUAAGAUAAUAAAUAUGUGGUGUAAACGUGAGUAAUUUUAUUAGGAAUUAAUGAACUAUAGAAUAAGCUAAAUACUUAAUAUAUUAUUAUAUAAAAAUAAUUUAUAUAAUAAAAAGGAUAUAUAUAUAAUAUAUAUUUAUCUAUAGUCAAGCCAAUAAUGGUUUAGGUAGUAGGUUUAUUAAGAGUUAAACCUAGCCAACGAUCCAUAAUCGAUAAUGAAAGUUAGAACGAUCACGUUGACUCUGAAAUAUAGUCAAUAUCUAUAAGAUACAGCAGUGAGGAAUAUUGGACAAUGAUCGAAAGAUUGAUCCAGUUACUUAUUAGGAUGAUAUAUAAAAAUAUUUUAUUUUAUUUAGUUCCGGGGCCCGGCCACGGGAGCCGGAACCCCGAAAGGAGAAAUAUUAAAUAUUUAUAAUAAUAAUAAUAAUAAUAUAUAUAUAUAAAUUGAUUAAAAAUAAAAUCCAUAAAUAAUUAAAAUAAUGAUAUUAAUUACCAUAUAUAUUUUUAUAUGGAUAUAUAUAUUAAUAAUAAUAUUAAUUUUAUUAUUAUUAAUAAUAUAUUUUAAUAGUCCUGACUAAUAUUUGUGCCAGCAGUCGCGGUAACACAAAGAGGGCGAGCGUUAAUCAUAAUGGUUUAAAGGAUCCGUAGAAUGAAUUAUAUAUUAUAAUUUAGAGUUAAUAAAUAUAAUUAAAGAAUUAUAAUAGUAAAGAUGAAAUAAUAAUAAUAAUUAUAAGACUAAUAUAUGUGAAAAUAUUAAUUAAAUAUUAACUGACAUUGAGGGAUUAAAACUAGAGUAGCGAAACGGAUUCGAUACCCGUGUAGUUCUAGUAGUAAACUAUGAAUACAAUUAUUUAUAAUAUAUAUUAUAUAUAAAUAAUAAAUGAAAAUGAAAGUAUUCCACCUGAAGAGUACGUUAGCAAUAAUGAAACUCAAAACAAUAGACGGUUACAGACUUAAGCAGUGGAGCAUGUUAUUUAAUUCGAUAAUCCACGACUAACCUUACCAUAUUUUGAAUAUUAUAAUAAUUAUUAUAAUUAUUAUAUUACAGGCGUUACAUUGUUGUCUUUAGUUCGUGCUGCAAAGUUUUAGAUUAAGUUCAUAAACGAACAAAACUCCAUAUAUAUAAUUUUAAUUAUAUAUAAUUUUAUAUUAUUUAUUAAUAUAAAGAAAGGAAUUAAGACAAAUCAUAAUGAUCCUUAUAAUAUGGGUAAUAGACGUGCUAUAAUAAAAUGAUAAUAAAAUUAUAUAAAAUAUAUUUAAUUAUAUUUAAUUAAUAAUAUAAAACAUUUUAAUUUUUAAUAUAUUUUUUUAUUAUAUAUUAAUAUGAAUUAUAAUCUGAAAUUCGAUUAUAUGAAAAAAGAAUUGCUAGUAAUACGUAAAUUAGUAUGUUACGGUGAAUAUUCUAACUGUUUCGCACUAAUCACUCAUCACGCGUUGAAACAUAUUAUUAUCUUAUUAUUUAUAUAAUAUUUUUUAAUAAAUAUUAAUAAUUAUUAAUUUAUAUUUAUUUAUAUCAGAAAUAAUAUGAAUUAAUGCGAAGUUGAAAUACAGUUACCGUAGGGGAACCUGCGGUGGGCUUAUAAAUAUC
rnacentral:ncRNA from 1 species